UCUGGCAGCUAGCUCUCUGCAACUCUCACAUGGUUGCCCACUAAAGCAGAGCAAGGCUGCGCCCGGUCAGUACCUGGAUGGUAGACCACACGGGAAAGCUAGGUUGCUGCUGGAA
ensembl:rRNA 5S_rRNA 5S ribosomal RNA